rnacentral:rRNA from 1 species
CCUACGGGAGGCAGCAGUGAGGAAUAUUGGUCAAUGGCCGAGAGGCUGAACCAGCCAAGCCGCGUGAGGGUAGAAUGUCCUAUGGAUUGUAAACCUCUUUUGUCAGGGAGCAAAGUCACCCACGUGUGGGUGUUUGAGAGUACUUGAAGAAAAAGCAUCGGCUAACUCCGUGCCAGCAGCCGCGGUAAUACGGGGGAUGCAAGCGUUAUCCGGAUUUAUUGGGUUUAAAGGGUGAGUAGGCGGGUUAUCAGGUUAGCGGGAAAAUCGUGGAGCUAAACUCCAUCCAGCCGUUGAGACUGAUGAUCUUGAGUGGGGGAGAGGUAUGCGGAAUGCGGGGUGUAGCGGUGAAAUGCAUAGAUAUCACGAAGAACUCCGAUUGCGAAGGCAGCAUACCGGAGACCGACUGACGCUGAGGCACGAAAGCGUGGGGAGCGAACAGGAUUAGAUACCCCAGUAGUC